GACGGAGGAUGCAAGUGUUAUCCGGAAUCACUGGGCGUAAAGCGUCUGUAGGUCGUUUAAAAAGUCUACUGUUAAAAAUUGAAGCUUAACUUCAAAGAUGCCGUAGAAACUUUUAAACUUGAGUAUGGUAGGGGUAGAGGGAAUUUCCAGUGGAGCGGUGAAAUGCGUAGAUAUUGGAAAGACCACCAGUGGCGAAGGCGACUUCCUGGCCUGUUCUUGACGCUGAGGCGCGAAAGCUAGGGGAGCAAACAGG
rnacentral:rRNA from 1 species